UGGGGAAUUUUGCGCAAUGGGCUAACGCCUGACGCAGCAACGCCGCGUGGAGGAUGAAGGUCUUUGGAUUGUAAACUCCUGUCAGCGGGGAAAAAGCAACCCGGCCUCAUACGCCGGGAAGUUGAUUGUACCCGCAGAGGAAGCCCCGGCUAACUCUGUGCCAGCAGCCGCGGUAAUACAGAGGGGGCAAGCGUUAUUCGGAAUUAUUGGGCGUAAAGGGCGCGUAGGCGGCUUGGCAAGUGGAAGGUGAAAUCCCUCGGCUUAACCGAGGAACUGCCCUCCAAACUGCUUUGCUUGAGGCCGGGAGAGGCGAGUGGAAUUCCCAGUGUAGCGGUGAAAUGCGUAGAUAUUGGGAGGAACACCAGUGGCGAAGGCGGCUCGCUGGACCGGUUCUGACGCUGAGGCGCGAAAGCGUGGGGAGCAAACGG
rnacentral:rRNA from 1 species